rnacentral:rRNA from 1 species
UACGAAGGGGGCUAGCGUUGCUCGGAAUCACUGGGCGUAAAGCGCACGUAGGCGGAUCUUUAAGUCAGGGGUGAAAUCCCUCGGCUUAACCGGGGAACUGCGUCUGAUACUGGAUGGCUUGAGUUUGGGAGAGGGACGCGGAAUUCCAGGUGUAGCGGUGAAAUGCGUAGAUAUCUGGAGGAACACCGGUGGCGAAGGCGGCGUCCUGGACCAACACUGACACUGAGGAGCGAAAGCCAGGGGAGCAAACGGG